GGGGUUGAGGCUUUUCCA
rnacentral:misc_RNA from 1 species